CUUUUACAUUGAACUGAAUAAUAAUAAUAAAAAAAUUGAAGAUACAAGUGAAAGAUCCUAUCUAUGCUGUUUUUUUUUUUUUUUAAAUCUUGACUUGAAUCUUCCUGAUUUGAAUUUGAAAAUUCACCUUAUUCUUUAGGCGGUCUCCUGACUUGCUUUUUUUUUUCUCUUCACUCUGUUCUUCAGGUGGGCUCCUGAACUUCCUUUUUUCUUCACUCUAUUCUUCAGACGGGCUCCUAGAUUUAUAAUUUCUUCACCCUGUUCUUUAGGCGAGCUCCUGAAAUUCUUUUUUUUCUUCACUCUGUUCUUCAGGCGUGCUCCUGGACUUACAAUUUCUUCACCCUAUUCUUCAGGUGGGCUCCUAGAUUUUCUUUUUUCUUCACCCUAUUCUUCAGGCGGGCUCCUGGACUUCCUUUUUUCUGAUUUUUCAAAUAUGUUCCUGAACUCAAAAUAAAAGAUGAAACUGAAAAAUAACAUCCCAUUCUUCAGGAGGGUCCUGGACAAAGUAAAUUCCCAC
rnacentral:lncRNA from 1 species